UAGGUAAUCUACCUUUGGAUGGGGAAUAACAACCGGAAACGGUUGCUAAUACCGCAUAAUGCAGCGGCACCUAAUGGUGACAGUUGUUAAAGCGGGGGAUCGAAAGACCUCGCGUCUGAAGAGGAGCCUGCGGCGGAUUAGCUAGUUGGUAAGGUAAUGGCUUACCAAGGCUACGAUCCGUAACCGGCCUGAGAGGGCGGUCGGUCACACUGACACUGACAUACGGGUCAG
rnacentral:rRNA from 1 species